CUGCUGCCUCCCGUAGGAGUUUGGACCGUGUCUCAGUUCCAAUGUGGGGGACCUUCCUCUCAGAACCCCUACUGAUCGUCGCCCCGGUGGGCCGUUACCCCGCCGGCAAGCUAAUCAGACGCAUCCCCAUCCUUUACCGGCCGAAGCCUUUGGUCAUGAAAAUAUGCAUCAACAUGACAACAUACGGUAUUAAUCCGCCUUUCGACGGGCUGUCCCAUAGUAAAGGGCAGGUUGGAUACGCGUUACCCACCCGUGCGCCGGUCGCCAU
rnacentral:rRNA from 1 species